AGAGUUUGAUCAUGGCUCAGAUUGAACGCUGGCGGCAUGCCUUACACAUGCAAGUCGAACGGCAGCAUGAUCUAGCUUGCUAGAUUGAUGGCGAGUGGCGAACGGGUGAGUAAUACAUCGGAACGUGCCCUGUAGUGGGGGAUAACUAGUCGAAAGAUUAGCUAAUACCGCAUACGACCUGAGGGUGAAAGUGGGGGACCGCAAGGCCUCAUGCUAUAGGAGCGGCCGAUGUCUGAUUAGCUAGUUGGUGAGGUAAAGGCUCACCAAGGCGACGAUCAGUAGCUGGUCUGAGAGGACGAUCAGCCACACUGGGACUGAGACACGGCCCAGACUCCUACGGGAGGCAGCAGUGGGGAAUUUUGGACAAUGGGCGAAAGCCUGAUCCAGCAAUGCCGCGUGUGUGAAGAAGGCCUUCGGGUAGUAAAGCACUUUUGUCCGGAAAGAAAUGGCUCUGGUUAAUACCUGGGGUCGAUGACGGUACCGGAAGAAUAAGGACCGGCUAACUACGUGCCAGCAGCCGCGGUAAUACGUAGGGUCCAAGCGUUAAUCGGAAUUACUGGGCGUAAAGCGUGCGCAGGCGGUUGUGCAAGACCGAUGUGAAAUCCCCGAGCUUAACUUGGGAAUUGCAUUGGUGACUGCACGGCUAGAGUGUGUCAGAGGGGGGUAGAAUUCCACGUGUAGCAGUGAAAUGCGUAGAGAUGUGGAGGAAUACCGAUGGCGAAGGCAGCCCCCUGGGAUAACACUGACGCUCAUGCACGAAAGC
rnacentral:rRNA from 1 species